UCCGGUGGCCAUAGCGGAAGGGAAACACCCGGUCCCAUACCGAACCCGGUAGUUAAGCCUUCGAGCGCCGAUGGGACUGCACGAGGGAUCGUGUGGGAGAGUAGGACGCCGCCGGAA
rnacentral:rRNA from 1 species